rnacentral:rRNA from 1 species
AGUGAACGCUGGCGGUAGGCCUAACACAUGCAAGUCGAACGGCAGCACAGUAAGAGCUUGCUCUUACGGGUGGCGAGUGGCGGACGGGUGAGGAAUACAUCGGAAUCUACUUUUUCGUGGGGGAUAACGUAGGGAAACUUACGCUAAUACCGCAUACGACCUACGGGUGAAAGCAGGGGAUCUUCGGACCUUGCGCGAUUGAAUGAGCCGAUGUCGGAUUAGCUAGUUGGCGGGGUAAAGGCCCACCAAGGCGACGAUCCGUAGCUGGUCUGAGAGGAUGAUCAGCCACACUGGAACUGAGACACGGUCCAGACUCCUACGGGAGGCAGCAGUGGGGAAUAUUGGACAAUGGGCGCAAGCCUGAUCCAGCAAUACCGCGUGGGUGAAGAAGGACUUCGGGUUGUAAAGCCCUGUUGUUGGGAAAGAAAAGCAGCAGGUUAAUAACCCGCUGUUCUGACGGUACCCAAAGAAUAAGCACCGGCUAACUUCGUG